CGGGGGGCUUUGCACGGGGCCUCACGCUUGGCGGCGCCGUGCAGAGAACGGGCAGUGGGAGCUGUGCCACCGGCACGGCCGCCACCACGCCGCCGGCUCGCACGAGGACGUCACCUUCUACCUGGUGAUCCGCCGCAAGCCGCUCUUCUACAUCGUCAACGUCCUCGUGCCCUGCGUGCUCAUCACGCUGCUCGCCGUCGGCGCCUUCUACCUGCCCCCCGACGCCGGUGCGUUGCACGAGGGGGGGGGGGGCUCGUGCAAGGGCCGGGGGUGUGUGUGUGUGUGUGGUCGCACGAGGGGUUUGCACCAGGGCGUUGCAGAUUCACAGCAGGGUUUGGGGGUGGGGGGGUGUUGCACAGCCGAAGCAUUUGCACGUGGACUUUGCGUGGUUUGUGUCAGAGCUUGCACGGGGGGCACGUGGGGGUGUUGCACAGCACCUUGCACAAGGGCAUUGCACUGUGCGUUGCACACGGGCGUCGCAAGAUGUGUUGCACGGGGGCAUUGCAGGAUGCAUUACACGAUGCUUUGCACAAUGCACAGUGCGUUGCGUGCCGUGUUGCACGCUGCAUUGCACGGGAGCAUUGCACGGGAGCACCGCACGAUGCAUUGCACGGGAGCACUGCACAGGAGCAUUGCACAGGAGCACCACACGAUGCGUUGCACGGGAGCACUGCACGAUGCAUUGCACGGGAGCACCACACGCUGCACCACACGAUGCAGUGCACGAGAGCACUGCACGGGAGCACCGCACGCUGCAUUGCAUGAGAGCACCGCAGGGGAGCAUUGCACGGGAGCACCGCUUGCUGCACCACUCGAUGCAAUGCACUAGAGCAUUGCACGGGAGCAUUGCACAGGAGCACCGCACGCUGCAUUGCACGGGAGCGCCGCACGCUGCGGUGCAUCACACAGUCGCGCACGCGCGCCGCAGGGGAGAAGAUGACGCUGUCGCUGUUCGCGCUGCUGACGCUGACGGUGUUCCUGCUGCUGCUGGCCGACAAAGUGCCGGCCACCUCGCUGGCCGUGCCGCUCAUCGGGCGCUACCUGACGGGCACCCUGGUGCUGCUCACGCUCUGCGUCAUCCUCAGCGUCGGCGUCCUCAACCUGCACCACCGCUCGCCCGCCACCCACGCCAUGCCCCCCUGGGUGCACAGGGUGAGGGCGGGGGGGGGCAGGACGGGGACCCCUGGGUGGCCCCGGUGGUCACCGGGUCCCUUUUGGGUCCCUCAGGUCCAUUUUGGGUGCUCUGGGUGGUCUCCGGGUCCCUUUUGGGUCUCUUUUGGGUGCCCCCAGGUCCAUUUUGGGUCACUCAGGUCCCUUUUGGGGCCCCCAGUGGUCACCGGGUCCCUUUUGGGUCCCCUUUUGGGUCCCUCAGGUCCAUUUUGGGUCCUCUGGGUGGUCUCUGGGUCCCUUUUGGGUCCUUUUUGAGUCCCUCAGGUCCAUUUUGGGUCCCCUGGGUGGUCACCGGGUCCCUUUUGUGUCCCCUUUUGGGUCCCCUUUUGGGUGCCCCGAGGUCCGUUUUGGGUCACCGGGUCCCUUUUGGGUCCC
rnacentral:lncRNA from 1 species